rnacentral:rRNA from 1 species
AAGGGUUUCGGCUCGUAAAGCUCUGUUGUUAAAGAAGAACACGUAUGAGAGUAACUGUUCAUACGUUGACGGUAUUUAACCAGAAAGUCACGGCUAACUACGUGCCAGCAGCCGCGGUAAUACGUAGGUGGCAAGCGUUAUCCGGAUUUAUUGGGCGUAAAGAGAGUGCAGGCGGUUUUCUAAGUCUGAUGUGAAAGCCUUCGGCUUAACCGGAGAAGUGCAUCGGAAACUGGAUAACUUGAGUGCAGAAGAGGGUAGUGGAACUCCAUGUGUAGCGGUGGAAUGCGUAGAUAUAUGGAAGAACACCAGUGGCGAAGGCGGCUACCUGGUCUGCAACUGACGCUGAGACUCGAAAGCAUGGGUAGCGAACAGGAUUAGAUACCCUGGUAGUCCAUGCCGUAAACGAUGAGUGCUAGGUGUUGGAGGGUUUCCGCCCUUCAGUGCCGGAGCUAACGCAUUAAGCACUCCGCCUGGGGAGUACGACCGCAAGGUUGAAACUCAAAGGAAUUGACGGGGGCCCGCACAAGCGGUGGAGCAUGUGGUUUAAU